rnacentral:rRNA from 1 species
GAUGAACGCUGGCGGCGUGCCUAAUACAUGCAAGUCGAGCGAACGGACGAGAAGCUUGCUUCUCUGAUGUUAGCGGCGGACGGGUGAGUAACACGUGGAUAACCUACCUAUAAGACUGGGAUAACUUCGGGAAACCGGAGCUAAUACCGGAUGAUAUUUUGAACCGCAUGGUUCAAAAGUGAAAGACGGUCUUGCUGUCACUUAUAGAUGGAUCCGCGCUGCAUUAGCUAGUUGGUAAGGUAACGGCUUACCAAGGCAACGAUGCAUAGCCGACCUGAGAGGGUGAUCGGCCACACUGGAACUGAGACACGGUCCAGACUCCUACGGGAGGCAGCAGUAGGGAAUCUUCCGCAAUGGGCGAAAGCCUGACGGAGCAACGCCGCGUGAGUGAUGAAGGUCUUCGGAUCGUAAAACUCUGUUAUUAGGGAAGAACAUAUGUGUAAGUAACUGUGCACAUCUUGACGGUACCUAAUCUGAAAGCCACGGCUAACUACGUG